rnacentral:rRNA from 1 species
UACAGAGGUCCCAAGCGUUGUUCGGAUUCAUUGGGCGUAAAGGGUGUGUAGGUGGCGCCGUAAGUCGGGUGUGAAAUCUCGGGGCUUAACUCCGAAACUGCAUUCGAUACUGCGGUGCUUGAGGACUGGAGAGGAGACUGGAAUUCAUGGUGUAGCAGUGAAAUGCGUUGAUAUUCACAGGAACUCCGGUGGCGAAGGCGGCUCGCUGGGCCUCUUCUGACGCUGAUGCGCGAAAGCUAGGGAGCAA